AGUGAACGCUGGCGGUAGGCCUAACACAUGCAAGUCGAACGGCAGCACAGGAGAGCUUGCUCUCUGGGUGGCGAGUGGCGGACGGGUGAGGAAUACAUCGGAAUCUACUCUGUCGUGGGGGAUAACGUAGGGAAACUUACGCUAAUACCGCAUACGACCUACGGGUGAAAGCAGGGGACCUUCGGGCCUUGCGCGAUUGAAUGAGCCGAUGUCGGAUUAGCUAGUUGGCGGGGUAAAGGCCCACCAAGGCGACGAUCCGUAGCUGGUCUGAGAGGCGGAUCAGCCACAAUGGAACUGGGAACCGGUCCAGACUCCUACGGGAGGCAGCAGUGGGGAAUAUUGGACAAUGGGCGCAAGCCUGAUCCAGCCAUACCGCGUAGGUGAAGAAGGCCUUCGGGUUGUAAAGCCCUUUUGUUGGGAAAGAAAUCCAGCUGGCUAAUACCCGGUUGGGAUGACGGUACCCAAAGAAUAAGCACCGGCUAACUUCGUGCCAGCCGCCGCGGUAA
rnacentral:rRNA from 1 species